CUAUCUACCAUUAUUUUGUCUCAUCUCAUUGUAUAGGCUCCUUUUUUCUUUUUUUCUAUUAAUUUAUGUAAGAGAUAAGUUUUAGUUUAAUAAUUGGAUGUAAUUGUGGUAAUGCAGGUGUAAUUUUCGUAUUCUCUGUAUACGUAUGGAAUACGUCAUUUGUGGUAUAUAUUCUUUGUUCUCUUGUAAACGCUUGCUCAGUCGGGUAUUCCAAGACUAUUGUCUGACUGAGACUUU